UACGUAGGUGGCAAGCGUUGUCCGGAAUUAUUGGGCGUAAAGCGCGCGCAGGCGGCCUCUUAAGUCUGAUGUGAAAGCCCACGGCUCAACCGUGGAGGGUCAUUGGAAACUGGGGGGCUUGAGUGCAGAAGAGGAGAGCGGAAUUCCACGUGUAGCGGUGAAAUGCGUAGAGAUGUGGAGGAACACCAGUGGCGAAGGCGGCUCUCGUGGGACGGUACUGACGCUGAGACGCGAAAGCGUGGGGAGCGAAC
rnacentral:rRNA from 1 species